AAAGAUGAAGUAUAGGGCCUGACACCUGCCCGGUGCUGGAAGGUUAAGAGGAGAUGUCAUUCCUUCGGGGAGAAGCAUUGAAUUGAAGCCCCAGUAAACGGCGGCCGUAACAAUAACGGUCCUAAGGUAGCGAAAUUCCUUGUCGGGUAAGUUCCGACCUGCACGAAUGGCGUAACGACUUCCCCGCUGUCUCCAGCAUCGGCUCAGUGAAAUUGAAUUCCCCGUGAAGAUGCGGGGUUCCUGCGGUCAGACGGAAAGACCCCGUGCACCUU
rnacentral:rRNA from 1 species